rnacentral:rRNA from 1 species
UGCAAGUAUCGGCAGGCGCGAAGCGUCGGCCACCCUCGGGAGGCUUGCACAGGUGCUGCAUGGCUGUCGUCAGCUCGUGUCGUGAGAUGUUCGGUUAAGUCCGCUAACGAGCGCAACCCUCGCUGUGUGUUAUAUGUGUCACACGGGACUGCCGGUCUUAAGCCGGAGGAAGGUGGGGAUGAUGUCAAGUCAGCAUGGCCUUUAUAUCCUGGGCUACACACACGCUACAAUGGCCAACACAAUAGGUUGCUAAGCCGCGAGGUGGCGCCAAUCCAUAAAGUUGGUCUCAGUUCAGAUUGUAGGCUGCAACCCGCCUGCAUGAAGAUGGAGUUGCUAGUAACCGCAGGUCAGCUAUACUGCGGUGAAUACGUUCCCGGGGCUU